CUGUGCUUGAGGCCCGACGACGCGCCAUAUCCCGGCAGCGCCGCAGCUCAGGCCUCUGCGAAUCUGUGGUCCACACGCUGAUAAACUUAGAGGCCUCUGCACUGGGGCAGAAACCGAAAGGCAUGACCCAGACCGAGAAAGAUAUUUGCAUACUGAGAAAGUGUGAAACACAAUUGUCGAGACUAAAAGGAGACACUGAGAGGAUACGCCAAUCAGGCUGAAGCAACUUACCAAACAUGAGGGGAU
rnacentral:lncRNA from 10 species